AAGACCCAAAAUAAAAAAAAAAACCUAAUUCCUCUAACCUUCAGAGAACAUCCGCCCUCCUCCGCCACCGAAAUUACCUCACGGCGGUGCCGGUGAUCCAAACGCCCUCAUCUUUACGCCAUCAAACCCCCACAACCUUCUCAUUCCAAUCCCAUGCUCACCUCCCUUCGAAUCAAGCCCGGAUGCCUCGAAUCUCGAUUUUAAGUCAAGCACCCUAGCCGCCGCCACAAGAUCCCCGGUGGAACCGUCCCAAAUUAACACCCAUUCACCUCCUUGACUCUCUCACCCCAAAUCCAUGACUAGAUUUACUCAAAGUUUACCCUAGAUUCUCGAAUCUUAAAUCCGAGGACGAACCUUACAAAUCCAAAAAAACAAAAAAAAUAGGGAAAUGGAGUCCUCAUCAGCGGAUUGGGUUUAUUUAGACUCUAUUCGUGUGUUUUGCUAAAAACACACAAAUAAGGUCAAGAUGGACCGAAAUUAGAGGAAUUCGAAGAAUUCAAGUCCGGAGCUCAAAUUUGACAAUAAGUCCGUUUACUUCCAAGUUAGUUCUAAUUCUUAUUUUGGUAUUGACAUCUCUUCUUCUUUCCUUUUCUGUUAGUUUGAAAUUUCCAAAAAAAAAUAAUAAAGAAGGGAAUCUGUUUUUAAGUGUGAAACCUGUUCUGAUUGUUUUCUGUUGAUUUUUUUUGCUCCUAAUCACACGACAAUGUCAUUCAAUGUGUUUAGUUGUUUCUUUUGGUCAAUUAUCGAUUUUGAUUAUUAGCUUGACUGCACUGUUUAGCCGAAACUCAUAAUAGUUAAACUCUUAGUCACUGGCUGCUUAUUUGUAUGCUAUAUCGUCUUGUUUGAUAAUUAAGGAGUGUCAGUGAUUUUCCUUAAUUAAGUAGUCAGUUCAGAUGAAACUAAUGAACCGUUAGAAUAAUGAAAUUGGGAACUGUUUAAACUAAUGAAAUAGUUUAAUCAGUAAUGGGGGUUGAUGAUUGUUUAAAACACUGUCAGAAAAAUAGAAAUCACAUGGGCACCAUUUCACAAGGUUUGAAGGAAUUGAAUAGAAAAAUAGGCUGCCGAUACUUAAUUGAAUAGGAAAAUAGGCUGCCCAUACCCCUGUAAUUUAAUAAAGAAAGAAACAAGGGAUUUGUAAAUAAAUUGCUAUCAACUCUCAGAUUCAAGGGAUGAUCUUAAAUACUAAAAUUGACUUCAUGAUUCAGUUAUUAGCCACUUUAGAUAGCUUCACAUGACUGAUUAUGCCAAAUCUAUGUGAUAUAUGAAAUUGAAGUAGUAUUUAAGUAGUACUUUCGAAUGAGCAUAUGGGUAGAAUCUGAUAGUAAAUGUUCACGAUUAUCAAAUUAGCCCAUUAGGUUUGAUAGUUUAACUUAGUUAGUUAUACUUUAGUUUGUUCAAUACACUCAGAAUAUUACAAUGAUUCGUUCAAUGACUGCUUGAUGAAAUCGGAGAGCAUCUUGGUCUGUUUAAUUAAUUGAGCUUGACGGCUCAUUGUUGAAAGUGUAGGAUCAAUUAGGCCAAUUUUCACUUAUUUGGACUUGAUUGAAAGAGUUCAAUUCAUAAUCUAAUACAGUAUAAUUCAAUUCUUAAUAAAUUAGGACUUUUCUUUUAUUUGUAGAGACAGUGAAAAAUAGAAAAUCAUAGAUACUUUUAAGAUGGGUUUUUAAAAAAUGAGAUGAGUGUCGCCAAAUAAAAAUGCAAAUUGUGGUGCCCUCGAUAAUAUUAUAUUAAAAUACUUAGAUUCUGGGACUUUUCCCAAAACAAUGUCGUGUUAGACUCUUUAGGAGCGAUUUAAAUAAAAUUACAUUCUCAAAUACAGGUGUGCAUUUCAUGUGACCCAAAUCCAAAUCAUAAAAUAUUGUAUAAAAAUGAUUCGGGUGCAUUUCAUGUGACGUGAUCCGGAAACAUAUUUUUUAAACGAUGUUUACUUUCUUAAAAAUUUUAAUUAAAGCGGUAAACAAUCUUUAAAAUUGCACAAUAUGAUAACAUGUAUUAAAAUCAUAUAUCAAGCCAUUUAUAAUAGUUUAAGCGUCUGUGCUAGAACUACGGGAUCCGGAGGUGCCUAACACCUUCCAUCGGGUCAACAAAAUUCCUUACUUAGAAUUUCUGGUUCGCAGACUUCACUUGGAAAGUAAAAAAUUUCCUCGAUUUGGGAUUUAAGAUAAACCGGUGACGUGGGACACCAAAAGCCAAUCAUAUCCUAAGUGGAGACUCUAAUAAAUAAAUAAUCUUAUUUCGAAUAAUGUCACUUAAAAUGAAAAAACUCUCGUAUACAUUUAUCCCUCGGGGUAGGUGCGUAAAAAGGAGGUGUGACAGUAUGCACAAGAUUUGUUUGGGUUAACACACUGAUAAAAGCUCUUAGGUGUUUCAGCAGGGAUGGGGGUGACAUAACCAGCAGCGUUGAGUCUCUCAUACAACUAGUCAAUGGGUUCAGCAAUGGCUGUAUAUUGUUUUGGGGGUAUGCAGUCAAAAUUAGGCCGGUGUCUAGGGAAGUUUUGGUGUGCAGGGGGUGAUUGGUAAUGGGGUGGUUGAGCAUUAUAGGUUUGGUAUACAUGAGUGAGUUGGGAGUAUCCGGGUGAAGUAGGUUGGUAUGUAGGAGGUGGAAGUGACUGAUAAGUUGGUGGUGGAGCUUGAUAUGAGGGUGAGGGUGCUUGGUAGUUCAGAUUUGGCUAAUAUGUGAGUGGAGGUGUUAGGUAAGUUUGGUAUUUGAUGAGAGAUUUGGUCCUUUGUGCAACCAUUACGGCCCUCACAUCCCUUUUUUUAGACACACCACCGGACUGUAAAGCCUUAUUGGUAGCUUGCAAGGCCUCGAAGUUUGUAACCAUACUGCUUUUGAUGCAUUCUUCAUUUCUUUUCACCCAAUUUGAUAAUGCCGGAGAAUUUUUGAUUCUCAAUCAUCAUCGGCCGUUCAUAGUACUGUGGGUCCUGACCCCAAACAAAGAACUUGUUUAUCUGCUCCUCUUCUAAGGCAGGUCUAACCUUGGCAGCUUCGGGCCUCUAGCGAGUAGCAUACUCGCGAAAUAUUUCUGUAUGCUUCUUCUUUAGAUUCUGAAUGUAGAACACAUUCAGCACAUUCUCCGUAUUAAACCUGAACCUAUCCAUAAAGUCGGACGUCAUGCCUACGCAACUUGACCACUUCUUUGGAUCUUAGCUCAUGUACUAAGACAAUGCAUCUCUCUUCAGGAAAAGCUUCAUGCGGAUUCUUUCAUCAUUUCAUACUCAAACCAGCUUAUCGCAGUAUGUCCUUAGAUGGACCCUUGGAUCACUCGUACCAUGAAACAUCUCGAACGUAGGGGGUUUGUAGCCCCCGGGCAGUUUGACGUCAGGCUGUAUGCAAAGAUCCUCAUAGUCCAGCACAUCGAUUCCCUUGCUUCCCUCAACGCGCUGAAUUUGGCUAGUCAAUUUCUUAAGUUCCUCAGCCAUAUUUCUGAUAAGCAGAUCAUUUUUUUUGACUUAGGUGUGUUUGAGAUAGGUUGGGUGGAGUGUAGCAUAGUCUCCACAUAGAUAGGGGUGUUAUAGUAGCCGGGUGUAUGGGUAAGGAAAUGGUCCUUUGUGGAGUUUUGAGGUUCUGGGAUGAGUAUUGGGGUGUUGUUUAGGAUAUGGCAGAUGCUGCAUUGGGUUUUAGUGGAACAAUGUGUUGCUUGGGGAUGUUUUACGGAGGUGUAGGGUUUUGAGUGUUGGGAGUUGAUAUCUGGGGUGCUGAGGGGAAAUGACAGGUUUGCCAAAUUCUGAACCUGAUCAAGUCAUUCCUGAAAUUUUAGCAGCUUUUGUUCAAGUUAUGACCCAUUCUCCUUAGGAACCUGAGUACUAUAGCCAUUAGUAGUCUUUACCUGUUCAUUUGGAUUCUCCUUUCUGUUGUUAUUUAGAUUUUUCAUCUUGCUUUUGUUCUUGUUUCUGACAGGACUAAGCAGAGGAGUGGUUAGAGGGCCCCUGGAUCUCAUGGAAUAAG
rnacentral:lncRNA from 1 species